CUGUAGAGGAGGAGCUGGAUGGAAUGUCCCUGUAGAGGAGGAGCUGGAUGGAAUGUCCCUGUAGAGGAGGAGCUGGAUGGAAUGUCCCUGUAGAGGAGGAGCUGGAUGGAAUGUGUCUGUGGAGGAGGAGCUGGAUGGAAUGACGCUGGAGCUCCACAGGCAGGGUCCCUCCAUAGCUGUGGAAAGUGAAGAAGGCAUUGAAGAUGACUAUUCUUUGGAGAGGCCUGAUGCCCGAAUUUCAGUUUGGCACUUACAGCGAAUCUGAGAGGAAAACCGAGGAGUACGAUACUCAGGCCAUGAAGUACUUGUCAUACCUGCUGUACCCUCUCUGUGUCGGGGGUGCUGUCUAUUCACUCCUGAAUAUCAAAUAUAAGAGCUGGUACUCCUGGUUAAUCAACAGCUUCGUCAACGGGGUCUAUGCCUUUGGUUUCCUCUUCAUGCUGCCCCAGCUCUUUGUGAACUACAAGUUGAAGUCAGUGGCACAUCUGCCCUGGAAGGCCUUCACCUACAAGGCUUUCAACACCUUCAUUGAUGACGUCUUUGCCUUCAUCAUCACCAUGCCCACGUCUCACCGGCUGGCCUGCUUCCGGGACGACGUGGUGUUUCUGGUCUACCUGUACCAGCGGUG
rnacentral:sRNA from 1 species